rnacentral:rRNA from 1 species
CCAGACUCCUACGGGAGGCAGCAGUGGGGGAUAUUGCACAAUGGGGGGAACCCUGAUGCAGCGACGCCGCGUGGGUGAAGGAGUAUUUCGGUAUGUAAAGCCCUAUCGGCAGGGAAGAAGCAAGACGGUACCUGACUAAGAAGCCCCGGCUAACUACGUGCCAGCAGCCGCGGUAAUACGUAGGGGGCGAGCGUUAUCCGGAUUCACUGGGUGUAAAGGGAGCGUAGACGGCCAAGCAAGCCAGGGGUGAAAGCCCGGGGCCCAACCCCGGGACUGCAUUUGGAACUGUAUAGCUAGAGUGUCGGAGAGGCAGGCGGAAUUCCUAGUGUAGCGGUGAAAUGCGUAGAUAUUAGGAAGAACACCAGUGGCGAAGGCGGCUUUCUGGACUGAAACUGACGCUGAGGCACGAAAGCGUGGGGAGCGAACAGGAUUAGAUACCCUAGUAAG